GCUUGUCGUGGUCCGUCACUCCCGACCUGUGUAACAAAUCACAAACAAACCCGUUUGUUCGGCUUUUAUAUAUGUUCCAUCUCUGAACUUGAAAUUUUUGUGGUGAUGUCUCGGGGGUUCACACCCUAUUUAUAAAAAGUCACAGCCUAAUGUGGUCUAACAGCGAGAAACAUGGAAUGCCAACGCAUUGUCGGGCUGAAGUAAUACACCAGACCGUCAUUUAUAUAUAAGUGAUAAAUCAGCAGAGAGGGAAAGAUGAGAGCUUCAGCAAUACACCACAAGAUGCAACAGUUGUCCCACCCAUCUAAAUCCCUCAUUUGGAAACGCGAAUGCUUGGCUGCGAUAGAAUUGGGUCACUUAUCGUAAUUUGCCAAGGAUAAGGUCAUCUACUUGCGUGCAGAUAAAGAGCAAUAAACAAUGGGACCUCAACAAAAAUGAUGGAUUUGCGUGAGAGCGAAGCAUAAUUGUGUCAUACUUCCCGAGGGAUCUGAUACUCACCUCCCCAAAUGCCGAUUUUCAGCUGGUUGCGAUCCAAGUUCUCUAUGUAGUCGCCGAGAACCUUGUUCAGGACAUCCGUUA